GGAGGAAUGGCAGAGCGGUUGAAUGCGCCGGUCUUGAAAACCGUUAGAGUCGAAAGGCUCUCGGGGGUUCGAAUCCCUCUUCCUCCGCCA
rnacentral:tRNA from 1 species